rnacentral:sRNA from 1 species
AACAUUACGGACGGCUCGCUGUAUUCUGGAGUAA